rnacentral:rRNA from 1 species
GACGAACGCUGGCGGCGUGCUUAACACAUGCAAGUCGAACGGAAAGGCCCUGCUUUUGCGGGGUGCUCGAGUGGCGAACGGGUGAGUAACACGUGAGUAACCUGCCCUUGACUUUGGGAUAACUUCAGGAAACUGGGGCUAAUACCGGAUAGGAGCUCCUGCUGCAUGGUGGGGGUUGGAAAGUUUCGGCGGUUGGGGAUGGACUCGCGGCUUAUCAGCUUGUUGGUGGGGUAGUGGCUUACCAAGGCUUUGACGGGUAGCCGGCCUGAGAGGGUGACCGGCCGCAUUGGGACUGAGAUACGGCCCAGACUCCUACGGGAGGCAGCAGUGGGGAAUAUUGCACAAUGGGCGGAAGCCUGAUGCAGCAACGCCGCGUGCGGGAUGACGGCCUUCGGGUUGUAAACCGCUUUCGCCUGUGACGAAGCGUGAGUGACGGUAAUGGGUAAAGAAGCACCGGCUAACUACGUG